rnacentral:rRNA from 1 species
UACAGAGGUCUCAAGCGUUGUUCGGAUUCAUUGGGCGUAAAGGGUGCGUAGGUGGCGUGGUAAGUCGGGUGUGAAAUUUCGGAGCUUAACCCCGAAACUGCAUUCGAUACUGCUGUGCUUGAGGACUGGAGAGGAGACUGGAAUUUACGGUGUAGCAGUGAAAUGCGUAGAGAUCGUAAGGAAGACCAGUGGCGAAGGCGGGUCUCUGGACAGUUCCUGACACUGAGGCACGAAGGCCAGGGGAGCAAACGGG